CAAUAGCGUAUAUUAAAGUUGUUGCAGUUAAAAAGCUCGUAGUUGAAUUUUUGCUUGCCGCCGAUGUCGGAACUUCCGUACGUUCGGCGGCGUGCAUCCUUGGGUGGAACCUGUGUGGCAUUAGGUUGUCGUGCAUGGGAUGCUCAUCGUUUACUGUGAAAAAAUUAGAGUGUUCAAAGCAGGCUUACGCCGUUGAAUAUAUUAGCAUGGAAUAAUAAGAUAGGACCUUGGUACUAUUUUGUUGGUUUGCGCACCGAGGUAAUGAUUAACAGGGACAGUUGGGGGUAUUCGUAUUCCAUUGUCAGAGGUGAAAUUCUUGGAUUUCUGGAAGACGAACUACUGCGAAAGCAUUUACCAAGGAUGUUUUCAUUAA
rnacentral:rRNA from 1 species